GGGACUGAUUUGGUUUCUACGUAUUGAAUUUUUUUUAUGGGUUAGAAUUGACUGAAGUAUUUUGCUACUCUAAAUGAUUUAAUUUGUAAAAGCAAAAAAUAAUAUUUUAGUUUUCUCUAAAAACUUGGUUAAAGUUUAAGUUUUUAGGGGAUUGAAUUAUAUUUUCCUGUAUAAUUUGAUUUAUUUAUUGGAAUACUCUUAUUAUAGAUUAUAGUAAUAACUAUUUAACUGUUUAAUUUUAAUAAGUAAUGUACUAAACAAAUCUAGCACUGUUAAAUAAAAAAAGCCGAUUCAUAUAAUAACUUAAUAUUUUACAUCAAUACGGACGUGGGUUCGAGUCCCACCAGUUCCA
rnacentral:tmRNA from 1 species